rnacentral:rRNA from 1 species
GACGAACCGUCCUAACGUUGUUCGGAAUCACUGGGCUUAAAGGGCGCGUAGGCGGCCCGUCAAGUCCCGUGUGAAAGCCCCCGGCUCAACCGGGGAACUGCACGGGAAACUAGCAGGCUUGAGUUCGGGAGAGGGAAGCGGAAUUUCGGGUGUAGCGGUGAAAUGCGCAGAUAUCCGAAGGAACACCGGUGGCGAAGGCGGCUUCCUGGACCGACACUGACGCUGAGGCGCGAAAGCUAGGGGAGCAAACGGG